AGGACGAACGCUGGCGGCGUGCUUAACACAUGCAAGUCGAGCGAUGAAGCUCCUUCGGGAGUGGAUAGCGGCGGACGGGUGAGUAACACGUGGGCAACCUGCCUUGUAGAGAGGAAUAGCCAUUCGAAAGGAUGAUUAAUACCUCAUAAUAUUGUAGCUUCGCAUGAAGCAACAACCAAAGGAGCAAUCCACUACAAGAUGGGCCCGCGGCGCAUUAGCUAGUUGGUGGGGUAACGGCUCACCAAGGCGACGAUGCGUAGCCGACCUGAGAGGGUGAUCGGCCACAUUGGGACUGAGACACGGCCCAGACUCCUACGGGAGGCAGCAGUGGGGAAUAUUGCACAAUGGGGGAAACCCUGAUGCCAGCAACGCCGCGUGAGUGAUGACGGUCUUCGGAUUGUAAAGCUCUGUCUUCAGGGACGAUAAUGACGGUACCUGAGGAGGAAGCCACGGCUAACUACGUGCCAGCCGCCGC
rnacentral:rRNA from 1 species